AAUCUGUUGAUAAUGUUAAUUAUCUACCUUUACCAACAUUCCGAUAACGUCCCUGUACUACCUUGUGGACCAUAACAAUUCUUUUCGUAGAUUUUUUGCAGAAUCUUAAUUUUAGUUUGUCUGAUAUCAGGUUUGCGUUGACAAAUUUCUUUUUUUCAUGUGUACAAACAACACCGCAAUUGAACCACACUCGUGUGUAGAUAGUCAUACAUAUGAAUGAUUGUUUUCAACUCAGCCGAUCAUCCAAUAUAUUUUUAA